UGCAGAUGAUGUGAAAGAAUAUUUGCUAUCUUAACAGCUGUGAUGACAUCCCACCAAGAUCACUGAUGCA